rnacentral:rRNA from 1 species
GUAUCUCACCUCUACAGCUUUGUUGUUGUGGAGAGUGGACUUGGGCCUUGUUGUGUAACAACGACUGGCUUGAAAUGGAUGAGUGUACCCUGCUGCUGCAGCGUCUUCAGUGUGAUAAGCAUCUUCACUGAUCAAAGUUCCUUUGGGACACGAAUGCAAAGUGGGCUCUGCGCUUCCAACCGUCUGUUAACAGACAAUACUUGACAAUUUGGCCUCAAAUCGGGUGGGACUACCCGCUGAACUUAAGCAUAUCAAUAAGCGGAGGAAAAGAAACUAACAAGGAUUCCCCUAGUAACGGCGAGUGAAGAGGGAAAAGCUCAAAUUUUGAAUCUGUCGUCUUUGGCGACCGAGUUGUAAUCUAGAGAAGUGUUUUCUGCCUUGGACCACACAUAAAUUCCCUGGAAUGGGGUGUCAAAGAGGGUGAGAAUCCCGUUUGUGGUGUGGACUCCCUCGGCUCUGUGAUACACUCUCAACGAGUCGAGUUGUUUGGGAAUGCAGCUCAAAAUGGGUGGUAAAUUCCAUCUAAAGCUAAAUACUGGCGAGAGACCGAUAGCGAACAAGUACCGUGAGGGAAAGAUGAAAAGCACUUUGGAAAGAGAGUGAAACAGUACGUGAAAUUGUUGAAAGGGAAGCGUUUGAAGUCAGUCACGUCGGUUGGGACUCAGCCUUGCUUCUGCUUGGUGUACUUCCCAGUCAACGGGUCAGCAUCAGUUUCGACCGUGGGAGAAAGACUUGGGGAAUGUGGCUCUUUGGAGUGUUAUAGCCUCUUGUUGUAUGUCUCGGUUGGGACUGAGGAUUGCAGCGCGCCUUACGGCCGGGGUUCGCGCCCUCGGUACGCGCUUAGGAUGCUGGCAUAAUGGCUUUAAGCGACCCGUCUUGAAA